GGGUGAUUAGCUCAGCUGGUUAGAGCGCUACGUUCACAUCGUAGAGGUCACUGGUUCGAAUCCUGUAUCACCCACCA
rnacentral:tRNA from 2 species